GACGGGGGGGGCAAGUGUUCUUCGGAAUGACUGGGCGUCAAGGGCACGUAGGCGGUGAAUCGGGUUGAAAGUGAAAGUCGCCAAAAAGUGGCGGAAUGCUCUCGAAACCAAUUCACUUGAGUGGGACAGAGGAGAGUGGAAUUUCAUGUGUAGGGGUGAAAUCCGUAGAUCUACGAAGGAAGGCCAAAAGCGAAGGCAGCCCUCUGGGUCCCUACCGACGCUGGGGUGCGAAAGCAUGGGGAGCGAACAGG
rnacentral:rRNA from 1 species